GGUAACUUCAAAAUGUUACCAGCCCAAAAUGCAUUUAACCAGACCAAAUAUGGUGAAUUUACUCAGAUGUAUGGAACAUCUAAACUUUUUACCAGACCAUCGGGCUGGCUAGCUGUAUAUUUGGAACGUCCGUCAGAAAUCUCGCCCAUUUCUGGUGGUCGCAUGGC